GUGCCAGCAGCCGCGGUAAUACGUAGGGUGCGAGCGUUGUCCGGAUUUAUUGGGCGUAAAGAGCUCGUAGGCGGUUUGUCGCGUCGGCCGUGGAAACCUGCCGCUUAACGGUGGGCGUGCGGUCGAUACGGGCAAACUUGAGUUCGGUAGGGGAGACUGGAAUUCCUGGUGUAGCGGUGAAAUGCGCAGAUAUCAGGAGGAACACCGGUGGCGAAGGCGGGUCUCUGGGCCGAUACUGACGCUGAGGAGCGAAAGCGUGGGGAGCGAACAGGAUUAGAUACCCUGGUAGUCC
rnacentral:rRNA from 1 species